ACUUACGAUUUCGCCUUGAAUCUAAUUUUCUUUCUACUUAACGUGCUCUUCCCACCUGGCGUGGAUUUAUUAUGACUGGAUACGACCCCACCGAAUGCUUCAAACAUAGCCAUGUCAGGAACAGGAGGAGAACCUCAUCCCGACAUGAGCAAAGUCAAAGGCCCGGUUCUUUUAGACCGGAUGGGGGGAGAGGCCUUAAACGCCCUAAUGUGCCCCCACAGCCAUGUCAGGAAUAUGAGGAGAAUCUCGUCCUGACAUAAGCAAAGUCAAAGGCCCGGUUCUUUUAGACCGGAUGGGGGGAGAGGCCUUACAACGCCCUAAUGUGCCCCCACAGCCAUGUCAAAAAUGGGAGGAGAACCUCGUCCUGACAUGAGCAAAGUCGAAGGCCCAGUUCUUUUAGACCGGAUGGGGGGANAGGCCUUACA
rnacentral:lncRNA from 1 species